rnacentral:rRNA from 1 species
GGGUUGUGAGGUUAAGCGACUAAGCGUACACGGUGGAUGCCCUGGCAGUCAGAGGCGAUGAAGGACGUGCUAAUCUGCGAUAAGCGUCGGUAAGGUGAUAUGAACCGUUAUAACCGGCGAUUUCCGAAUGGGGAAACCCAGUGUGAUUCGUCACACUAUCAUUAACUGAAUCCAUAGGUUAAUGAGGCGAACCGGGGGAACUGAAACAUCUAAGUACCCCGAGGAAAAGAAAUCAACCGAGAUUCCCCCAGUAGCGGCGAGCGAACGGGGAGCAGCCCAGAGCCUGAAUCAGUGUGUGUGUUAGUGGAAGCGUCUGGAAAGGCGCGCGAUACAGGGUGACAGCCCCGUACACAAAAAUGCAUAUACUGUGAGCUCGAUGAGUAGGGCGGGACACGUGGUAUCCUGUCUGAAUAUGGGGGGACCAUCCUCCAAGGCUAAAUACUCCUGACUGACCGAUAGUGAACCAGUACCGUGAGGGAAAGGCGAAAAGAACCCCGGCGAGGGGAGUGAAAAAGAACCUGAAACCGUGUACGUACAAGCAGUGGGAGCCUCUUUUAUGGGGUGACUGCGUACCUUUUGUAUAAUGGGUCAGCGACUUAUAUUCUGUAGCAAGGUUAACCGAAUAGGGGAGCCGAAGGGAAACCGAGUCUUAACUGGGCGUUAAGUUGCAGGGUAUAGACCCGAAACCCGGUGAUCUAGCCAUGGGCAGGUUGAAGGUUGGGUAACACUAACUGGAGGACCGAACCGACUAAUGUUGAAAAAUUAGCGGAUGACUUGUGGCUGGGGGUGAAAGGCCAAUCAAACCGGGAGAUAGCUGGUUCUCCCCGAAAGCUAUUUAGGUAGCGCCUCGUGAAUUCAUCUCCGGGGGUAGAGCACUGUUUCGGCAAGGGGGUCAUCCCGACUUACCAACCCGAUGCAAACUGCGAAUACCGGAGAAUGUUAUCACGGGAGACACACGGCGGGUGCUAACGUCCGUCGUGAAGAGGGAAACAACCCAGACCGCCAGCUAAGGUCCCAAAGUCAUGGUUAAGUGGGAAACGAUGUGGGAAGGCCCAGACAGCCAGGAUGUUGGCUUAGAAGCAGCCAUCAUUUAAAGAAAGCGUAAUAGCUCACUGGUCGAGUCGGCCUGCGCGGAAGAUGUAACGGGGCUAAACCAUG